GCCCAGGUGGUGGAAUUGGUAGACACGCAGGACUUAAAAUCCUGUGGCCAUUAUGGCUGUGCGGGUUCAAGUCCCGCCCCGGGUACAA
rnacentral:tRNA from 5 species